rnacentral:misc_RNA from 1 species
AAUCGCCAGCGCUUCGAAGUCCGGAAGCCUGGGCAUGCGAGCCAUCCCUCAUGUGUCAGAUAUGGAAACAAUGAGUUUCCAUAGUUUCUAUUUAUGCACCAUUCGGGAGCGCUUAUCCAUAACCCAUCGAAUUCGAGGUUACCCACGGCGCACCACGCACCCGGCGGUCACCUCAAAGCACAUUCAACGAAGGAAUAUCCCAUGAUCGAACUUCGGCCAUUCAACAAACUCGGCAGCGCCAAUCACGGCUGGC